UCCAGGAUUCCCAUUCUUAGCACUAAUUGAGACAACAAUAGUUACUAGUAGUGAGCUCAAGUAGCUUCCUAGUGCAUUAGUGGCGAGUGAGAGAGCAGAGCACAAACUUCUCAUGGCAUCAGGUGCUUCCUCGUAGAAGAAUUCCAACUGUCCAAUGAAGCUAGCAUGGACAAGAUGGAUAUGAAGAGCCCAAUGCCCAUUCGCUGGAGUUGAGUCAAUCCACUUUUGUGACCGGUGAAUCUUCUGGCAACAGGGACAAUGAUUUGAUCAUAAACUGGGACCCAGAAAAUGACACUGAAGAUGUCGAAAAUACCAAGUGAUGGUGGUGGGAUCCUGAAGUUAGUGUUGCCAACACGAGUAUCCAUUCUCUCACCUUGCAACGAAAAAAAAUUGCUCAUUUGGUUAUAUACAGCAGAGAAGAUGAUACCAGUUGCAAAUAUUGGAAGCAAUCGCACAAUGCCUUUCAGCUCCUCAACUUGGGUCACUGAGCAUAGUCUCCAUGGGUUUAUUGAGCCCCCCUUAUGAUCUGAUUGUUUCUGCACAGCUGCCUUAUCCAAGAAACUGCAUUUAACAACAUUGGAUUACUGGAUGCCCUCUAAUUAGGCAGAUCAAUCACUUAUAGAGUAUUAAAUGAAUGCUAAAUGAAAACCUUGUUAAAAUAAACAGAGGAACCAUUUUUCACGUCCUUGCAUUUUGACUGAAAACAGCAAGCCAAACUCAUCAAUUCCGAUGCUCACCUAAAAUCUUUGGUGUGAUCAAUCUUGCGGCUUCCUUUGAUAGCAGAUUCGGUAUCAGCAGUCUCAUACAAAAGAGUCUUAUCUGCUGGAACUCUAACCCUAUAUUUCUUCACAGAAGCUACUAGCACCUGACAGAUUCUUGUCAGAGGGCUACCUCCGGGCUUCUGGUUCCGAUACAGGCGAGUACCAGAAAAGAAACUUGCUACUGCAAUUGCCAUGGCCACAGCUGGGAUUCCAAAACCCCAUCCCCAACCCACAUUGUCUUGUACCCAAACCAGCACAGACGUGGCAACAAGUGCACCGACAUUGAUUGAAAAAUAGAACCAAUUGAAGAAAGAGCUCUUUUGUUUCUUCUCGGUUUCAUCAGCAUCAUCAAACUGAUCUGCUCCAUAGGUUGAGACACAAGGCUUAAUCCCUCCAGUUCCGAGUGCUAUCAGGUAAAGGGCUAUGAAGCAGACUGCACUCUGUGUAUGUGUUGGGUUGCAAUCAUCUUUUGCAUAACAGAAUGGCUUUAUGCCGGGCACCGAUGCUGACAAUGUCAACAGGGUCAUUCCCUACAUGGAAUUGAGAUAUUUCAGUGUGCACAAUGCAAGAUGAAAUUCAACAAACCGGACUUACAAUGACAUAGAUGAUUGAGAAGACUGCAAUAGUCCAGUAUCUUCCUAGAUAGGCAUCAGCAAGAAAUGCUCCGAUGAGCGGUGUGAUGUAGCAUGUACCAGACCAAUCUGAUUGAUUCUUAGCAGCAGUUGCACUCUGCUGGUUGAGUUGAUGCUUGAAAUAAAGCACCAAGUUGGAGCUCAUUCCAUAGUAUGCCAAUCUUUCGCAGCAUUCAUUCCCUGCAGGUGUGGCACAAAUCUGAAGAUGGAAAUUUGAUCAAACAGAUGAUGAUGAUGAUGAUGAUGAUGAUGGCUUCAUUAAAAACUCCGAGGAUGUUUCAAAGUGUUUCAACAGACAUUUAUGCUAUAUGUAUGAUGCCAACAGCUAAGGAUGGAGAAACCUCUGCUAGUUCGGCAAGAGGUGCGUUAGUUCAAGGAGCAUCCUUAAUUUCCCCUCCUGUUUUUAAAUGAUUUUUUGUUCUUCUUCUGUGUGUUGAGACCUGCUAUCUCAUAUAAGCAUGCAAUCUAGUUAGCCUAGCAUAUUUAAUAUAUGUUUUGAUGUUGGGUAUAAUUAAUAAAUUUUAAGUCCUAAUUUGAAUAAUGAAAAACCUAUCUCAUUUUACA